CUUCACUCUAGCGAGACUGCCGGUAAUAAACCGGAGGAAGGUGGGGAUGACGUCAAAUCAUCAUGCCCCUUAUGACCUGGGCUACACACGUGCUACAAUGGCUGGUACAACGAGUCGCGAGUCGGUGACGGCAAGCUAAUCUCUUAAAGCCAGUCUCAGUUCGGAUUGUAGGCUGCAACUCGCCUACAUGAAGUCGGAAUCGCUAGUAAUCGCGGAUCAGCACGCCGCGGUGAAUACGUUCCCGGGCCUUGUACACACCGCCCGUCACACCACGAGAGUUUGUAACACCCGAAGUCGGUGAGGUAACCGUAAGGAGCCAGCCGCCUAAGGUGGGAUAGAUGAUUGGGGUGAAGUCGUAACAAGGUAACCGUAA
rnacentral:rRNA from 1 species